rnacentral:misc_RNA from 1 species
GUGCGAGACAAGAAGCUUCUCAAUGACCUGAAUGGAGCCGUGGAGGAUGCAAAGACGGCCCGGCUGUUCAACAUCACCAGUUCUGCCCUGGCAGCCUCCUGCAUCAUCCUCGUCUUCAUCUUCCUGCGGUACCCCCUCACCGACUACUAAGGCCCGCCAGGCACGGCUGCUGGCGGAGACAAGCACUGAGACAUGUUUAUUCUCAUGGUCCCUGAAA